rfam:Intoshia linei isolate Intl2013 Contig_14570, whole genome shotgun sequence.
UUUAGAUAUGGAGACAUGGUACCGAAAACUGUUUUUGGUAAAUUCAUCGGAGGUCUGUGUUCAUUGUCUGGUGUUCUAGUUAUUGCUUUACCAGUACCUGUAAUAGUUUCUAAU